UAUUAGGUUGGUGCAAAAGCAAUUGUGGUUUUUGCCAUUAAAAUUAAAAGAAAUGGCAAAAACCACAAUUGCUUUUGCACCAAUCUAAUA
rfam:Pan troglodytes isolate Yerkes chimp pedigree #C0471 (Clint) chromosome 8, whole genome shotgun sequence.